rnacentral:rRNA from 1 species
GAUGAACGCUGGCGGCGUGCCUAACACAUGCAAGUCGAGCGACCAGAUAAGGAGCUUGCUCCUUUGACGUUAGCGGCGGACGGGUGAGUCACACGUGGGUAACCUACCUAUAAGACUGGGAUAACUUCGGGAAACCGGAGCUAAUACCGGAUAACAUUUGGAACCGCAUGGUUCUAAAGGCCAAGCUGGUUUUGCUAUCACUUAUAGAUGGACCCGCGUCGUAUUAGCUAGUUGGUAAGGUAACGGCUUACCAAGGCGACGAUACGUAGCCGACCUGAGAGGGUGAUCGGCCACACUGGAACUGAGACACGGUCCAGACUCCUACGGGAGGCAGCAGUAGGGAAUCUUCGGCAAUGGGCGAAAGCCUGACGGAGCAACGCCGCGUGAGUGAUGAAGGGUUUCGGCUCGUAAAACGCUGUUAUUAGGGAAGAACAAACGUGGAAGAAACUGUGGACGGCAUGACGGUACCGAAUCAGAAAGCAACGGCUAACUACGUG